UACAGGGGGGGCAAGCGUUGUUCGGAAUUACUGGGCGUAAAGGGCUCGUAGGUGGCCGACUAAGUCAGACGUGAAAUCCCUCAGCUUAACUGGGGAACUGCGUCUGAUACUGGAUGGCUUGAGUUUGGGAGAGGGAUGCGGAAUUCCAGGUGUAGCGGUGAAAUGCGUAGAUAUCUGGAGGAACACCGGUGGCGAAGGCGGCAUCCUGGACCAACACUGACACUGAGGAGCGAAAGCCGGGGGGAGCAAACGGG
rnacentral:rRNA from 1 species